rnacentral:rRNA from 1 species
UAGAGUUUGAUCAUGGCUCAGAACGAACGCUGGCGGCGUGCUUAACACAUGCAAGUCGAACGCGAACGAGUUCUUCGGGACUUUAGUAGAGUGGCGCACGGGUGAGUAACGCGUAAGUAAUCUACCUCGGCAUCUGGAAUAACACAUCGAAAGGUGUGCUAAUACUGGAUACGUUGAGUAAUCAAGAAAGGUGGCCUCUGAAUAUGCUACUGUGCUGAGAUGAGCUUGCGUACCAUUAGCUAGUUGGUAGGGUAAUGGCCUACCAAGGCGACGAUGGUUAGCGGGUCUGAGAGGAUGAUCCGCCACACUGGAACUGGAACACGGACCAGACUCCUACGGGAGGCAGCAGUGAGGAAUAUUGCGCAAUGGGGGAAACCCUGACGCAGCGACGCCGCGUGGAUGAUGAAGGCCUUCGGGUCGUAAAAUCCUGUCAGAUGGAAAGAAGUGUUAUGUGGCUAAUAUCCAUGUAACUUGACGGUACCAUCGAAGGAAGCACCGGCUAACUCCGUGCCAGCAGCCGCGGUAAUACGGAGGGUGCAAGCGUUGUUCGGAAUUACUGGGCGUAAAGCGCGCGUAGGCGGUUUUAUAAGUCAGAUGUGAAAGCCCAUGGCUCAACCAUGGACGUGCAUUUGAAACUGUGAGACUUGAGUAUUGGAGGGGGUGGUGGAAUUCUCGGUGUAGAGGUGAAAUUCGUAGAUAUCGGGAGGAAUACCGGUGGCGAAGGCGACCAUCCUGGCCAAAUACUGACGCUAAGGCGCGAAAGCGUGGGGAGCAAACAGGAUUAGAUACUCUGGUAGUCCACGCCGUAAACGAUGUCAACUAGGUGUUGGGACGGUUAAUCGUCUCAUUGCCGCAGCUAACGCAUUAAGUUGACCGCCUGGGGAGUACGGUCGCAAGAUUAAAACUCAAAGGGAAGUG